AUGGUAUGACUGGUACAAUUGGUUUCUCCCUUCUGACGAAGCAUGAUGUCAUUAAUUUGGUGUCGUGGGGAAUCAGCACUGUUACUUUGAAAAAAUUAGAGUGUUUAAAGCAAGCAUUAGCUUGAAUACAUUAGCAUGGAAUAAUGAAAUAGGACGUUUGAUCCUAUUUCGUUGGUUUCUAGGAUCGACGUAAUGAUUAAUAGGGAUAGUUGGGGGCAUUAGUAUUCAAUUGUCAGAGGUGAAAUUCUUGGAUUUAUUGAAGACUAACUACUGCGAAAGCAUUUGCCAAGGAUGUUUUCAUUAAUCAAGAACGAAAGUUAGGGGAUCGAAGACGAUCAGAUACCGUCGUAGUCUUAACCAUAAACUAUGCCGACUAGGGAUCGGAUGAUGUUAAUUUUUUAAUGACUCAUUCGGCGCCUUACG
rnacentral:rRNA from 1 species